UACGUAGGGUGCAAGCGUUGUCCGGAAUUAUUGGGCAUAAAGAGCUCGUAGGCGGUUUGUCGCGUCUGCUGUGAAAACUCGGGGCUUAACUCCGGGCCUGCAGUGGGUACGGGCAGACUAGAGUGCGGUAGGGGAGACUGGAAUUCCUGGCGUAGCGGUGAAAUGCGCAGAUAUCAGGAGGAACACCGGUGGCGAAGGCGGGUCUCUGGGCCGUAACUGACGCUGAGGAGCGAAAGCGUGGGGAGCGAACAGG
rnacentral:rRNA from 1 species